UCGACUCUGUCGAAUAAAGUUCUAGUUAAGUUAUGAUAAUGACAUUUCUUAACUAUGUGUCUUGACCAAAUCACGUGCCAGCAGUCGCGGUAAUACGUGGAAGACUAGUGUUAUUCAUCUUUAAAAGGUUUAAAGGGUACCUAGACGGUAAAUCCAGCCCCAAGAGGGUACUAAUUUACUAGAGUUUAAUAAGAGAGGGGGAGUACUGAUGAGUGGAGAGAUUGAAUAUAAUGAUACCGUUAGGAACAGACAAAGGCGAAAGCGACCCUCUACAAAAAACUGACGUUGAGGGACGAAGGCUUUAGUCGUGAAAAGGAUUAGGUACCCAAGUAAUUAAAGCAGAAAAUGAUGAAUGUCAUAGAUUAGUAAAGUUUAUUUACAAAACAUUUUACUAUUAAUCUAUAAAUGAAAGUGUAAGCAUUCCACCUCAAGAGUAAUGUGGCAACGCAGAAACUGAAAUCAUUAGACCAUUUCUGAAACCAGUAGUGAAGUAUGUUGUUUAAUUAGAUGAUCCGCAAAAGACCUCACCACAAUUUGUAUAUUAUUGUUUUAUAAUAAUACAAGCGUUGCACGGCUGUCUUCAGUUAAUGUCGUGAGAUUAGGUUAGUUCCAUU
rnacentral:rRNA from 1 species